GCUGGGCGUGGUGCACACCUGUAAUCCUAGUAAUUUGGGAGGCUGAGGCAGGAGGAUCGCAAGCUCAAGGGCAGCCUCAGCAACUUAGCGAGACUCUGUCUCAA
rnacentral:sRNA from 1 species